UUUGUAGCCCUUGCUAUGGUAUAAUUAGUGGCAGACGGGUGAGUAAUGUAUAGGAAUCUACCUAGUAGUACGGAAUAAUUGUUGGAAACGACAACUAAUACCGUAUACGCCCUACGGGGGAAAAAUUUAUUGCUAUUAGAUGAGCCUAUAUUAGAUUAGCUAGUUGGUGGGGUAAUAGCCUACCAAGGUAAUGAUCUAUAGCUGAUCUGAGAGGAUGAUCAGCCACACUGGAACUGAGAUACGGUCCAGACUCCUACGGGAGGCAGCAGUGGGGAAUAUUGGACAAUGGGCGAAAGCCUGAUCCAGCCAUGCCGCAGAGUGAAGAAGGCCUUUGGGUUGUAAAGCUCUUUUAGUGAGGAAGAUAAUGACGGUACUCACAGAAGAAGUCCUGGCUAACUCCGUGCCAGCAGCCGCGGUAAUACGGAGAGGGCUAGCGUUAUUCGGAAUUAUUGGGCGUAAAGGGCGCGUAGGCUGGUUAAUAAGUUAAAAGUGAAAUCCCGAGGCUUAACCUUGGAAUUGCUUUUAAAACUAUUAAUCUAGAGAUUGAAAGAGGAUAGGGGAAUUCCUGAUGUAGAGGUAAAAUUCGUAAAUAUUAGGAGGAACACCAGUGGCGAAGGCGUCUAUCUGGUUCAAAUCUGACGCUGAAGCGCGAAGGCGUGGGGAGCAAACAGGAUUAGAUACCCUGGUAGUCCACGCUGUAAACGAUGAAUGUUAAAUAUGGGGAGUUUACUUUCUGUAUUACAGCUAACGCGUUAAACAUUCCGCCUGGGGACUACGGUCGCAAGAUUAAAACUCAAAGGAAUUGACGGGGACCCGCACAAGCGGUGGAGCAUGUGGUUUAAUUCGAUGCAACGCGGAAAACCUUUACCACUUUCUUGACAUGAAAAUCAUACCCUUAC
rnacentral:rRNA from 1 species